UAAAAGUCCGUCAUUAGCGAGGCGACAACUUUGCUGAAGACUGGCGUCCAUUUGCACAGGCUCAACGCACAAAAUGUCUGACAAACUUUGCUAACUGUUCCAAUCAGAGAUCGUGCUUACGACCGCGUUAAAGGCCGAUAAAAAUUCUCCAUAGCGACAGAACUUUGGCUUUUGCUGUAUUUAGCCAUUCUUCAAGGUGGACCGUGUUUGCACUGAAGCAUGAAAUCAUGACACAAAGUCAUUCUUUGCAAGUAUACUAAUAAUAAUACUGUAGUGUGGUGUGUAGUGGUAUUAUUCUCAAUUUUGGGGGUGUGCACAGAUUAUCUCUUGUCAUUUCAAUAGAGGAAGAUAAUUCUAUAGUUUUUUUUUUUACUUAUUAUCGUUGCCAUGUAACAAAUAAAUGUACAAUAUAGUUAUAGCAGCAAUAUGUUCUCUUUAUUGAGGAAAUGUUUUUAGGCAUCUAAUUCGUUUAGCUGGUGUGCUGUUGUUGUAAUGCACUUUGGCCAGUUUGGAGGUAAUGGGGCAUUUACUGUAGCUUGUGUUUAUGUGGUCGUUUUUUGGGAGGUGUAAGCGGGUGGAGCGAGGGAGGGAGAGAGGAAAAAAAAAAGAAAAUUGAUGCAGUGGUCAGUGAAGUCCCUUCGGCAACAACCCAGCGCUGCUUUUAGCUCGUUUUAUAUUUCGUAAAGUCAAACCGUAGCUUGUGUAUUUGGCCUUUCGGGACAAAGUGUAUAUUUGAAUAGAAGUCCUCCAAGGGGCAUAUUCUAUUAAUGGAGGGGGGAAAUGUGAUAUUGAUAUUAAAAAUCUAUGUCAGUUGGGGGCUUUUACCGUCACAGCUCCUAGUCUAUACACUUAUAAUUGUCAAGCAUAAUUCACUGAACACUUGAUUAGAUACACUCUCAUACUGUGUCACCACAAUUCUUACCAUCCCCGAUAUGUAAACUGCUUUUUUCCAUUUGAAUGUUUGCCUUUAUUUUCCCUUUAUUUUGUAACAUUUUAGUGUACUUUAAUCUUAAUUUUUUUUUACAUUUUGUCAGGUUUCUUUCAUUUCAAUUUGCAUUGUUUAUGCCUUAUUUUACAGUUAAUUUUAAGUUGUAUUAGUUUGCUAUACUUUGGUAAUAUUUUUGCUUGGUUUUGCAUUCCUUCUGUAUUAUUUUAUGUAUUUUCCCCUUUGCUGUUAUAUUCCCACCCUCACCCCCACUGUUCAGCACAGCUUGACUUUAUUUCGCUUCAUGAUUUUGUCUGUUACAUUAUUUGUGUUUCUUUUGUUUUUUUUCUGCCAUUUCAUUCACCAUUAAUUUUGUUUUGUUUUGUGUGUCUUGUGUGUUUUUUUUUUUUUUAGUUAGCUUCUUAUGCCGUUAUUUCUAGAUUUAUUUUGCCUAGGAUUUUCUUGAUGCUUUUUUUUUUUUGGUAUUACUUUGCUAUAUCUCGUUUCAUUUUACUUUUUCUUUGCUGAAUUUUUUAUUCAGCUUCUUAUUUUUAUUCUGACUCAAUUUUGCAAAAUGUGGCAUAGAAGAAGAUUGUUGAAUGGAAACAUCUUCAAAUUGAACCUUAUCACUCCAGUAUAUUUUUUGGAGACUUGUCCACCAAGCCCUUCUUUUCCGUCCCUUCCACGGUUCCUUCCCAUACUUCAUUUCUUGGGAGGCUGGCGUGGUUGCCUUUGAGGGACCUUAGAGUGGUGUUUGGGUCUGGGGAGGGGGAGUUUGGAGGAUGUGGGGGGUUGAUUUGACAGAGCACUUGUGACAAUCCUGAGGACAGCACAAGUGCAGAGCUCUCCAUCCUGGAGGCCACGUAUUGCACCAGAGCAGAUGAGCCGAGACUGCGGGCUCCAGGCGGAGGAGGUUGGGGCGACCGACGUGGAUGCACGCUGCCACCCAGAGGCCGUCUGAUGGGUCGCCACAGCGGGUCAUCGAAGAUGAACGCACAUUUGUUGCCCUUCCUGACGCAACCCCUCUCCAGCAAUGAAGGUGGACUUCCCGGUGGGUCCAACUAUCACGUUGACCCGAGUUGGAGCACGCCACUGCACGCUGCCACUGCCAUUACUUGCCUCCUCCCGUUGAGCCGCGUGCGCCAGCGAGUCAACCGAACAUAACCGGGCGAGAACCCAGCAGCGAAGUCCUUCCCCACCCCGCUGGAACAUCAGAGUCCAAACCCCACAGCAACCCCCCCUUACCUCCAGACCACCUUAGCCAACAUCCCCCCCCCCCCCCUCCCCGCAGCUCGCCAUCACGCUGCGCACCAAGCCAUCGCCUCAAAGGAAUUGUCAGAAUAAAUGACGGCCAUUAUGACAAUCACCUGGUAGGACGCCGUGACGAUUGUGAGGAGCGCGACAGGAAGCCAUUUUUAAUAGGUGUUCAUUAUCCUUUUGUUCAGUGUUAAAAAUGGACAAAAAGACCUAAAUAAGUCAUUCCGCCAUUAUGUCACACCCAGGUAACCAAGCAAAUCUCGUUGACCAAUUCCCUGACUGCCUACCUAACUGAUGAACCUACUACUUAGGUAGAAAAAAAUUAAUCCAACCACCCAAUUUACUGGUUACAUCACAUACAAAAUAUGGAAAACAAGUUACGGCAGGAAAAUAAAUCAAAUCAAGCAAGUCAA